CCUACGGGGCGCACCAGUGGGGAAUAUUGCACAAUGGGCGCAAGCUUGAUGCAGCCAUGCCGCGUGUAUGAAGAAGGCCUUCGGGUUGUAAAGUACUUUCAGCGAGGAGGAAGGCGUUAAGGUUAAUAACCUUGGCGAUUGACGUUACUCGCAGAAGAAGCACCGGCUAACUCCGUGCCAGCAGCCGCGGUAAUACGGAGGGUGCAAGCGUUAAUCGGAAUUACUGGGCGUAAAGCGCACGCAGGCGGUCUGUUAAGUCAGAUGUGAAAUCCCCGGGCUCAACCUGGGAACUGCAUUUGAAACUGGCAGGCUUGAGUCUUGUAGAGGGGGGUAGAAUUCCAGGUGUAGCGGUGAAAUGCGUAGAGAUCUGGAGGAAUACCGGAGGCGAAGGCGGCCCCCUGGACAAAGACUGACGCUCAGGUGCGAAAGCUUGGGGAGCAAACAGGAUUAGAUACCCGGGUAGUC
rnacentral:rRNA from 1 species